GCCGUGAUAGCUCAGUUGGGAGAGCGUAUGACUGAAGAUCAUAAGGUCGCUGGUUCGAUCCCGGCUCACGGCA
rnacentral:tRNA from 1 species